UCCGGUUUGUCACCGGCGGUUUCUUCAGAGUGCUCGACCGAAUCGGUAGCAACUGAAGACGAGGGUUGCGCUCGUUGCGGGACUUAACCCAACAUCUCACGACACGAGCUGACGACAGCCAUGCAGCACCUGUGUGCGCUGGUAUUGCUACCUCGUCAGGCUUUCACCCUUCUACUACGUACAUGUCAAGGCCAGGUAAGGUUCUUCGCGUUGCAUCGAAUUGAGCCACAUACUCCACCGCUUGUGCAGGCCCCCGUCAAUUUCUUUGAGUUUUAAUCUUGCGACCGUACUUCCCAGGCGGCACGUUUAACGCGUUAGCUUCGCCACAAAAGGGGUCGAUUCCUCUUACAUCAAACGUGCACCGUUUACAGCCAGGACUAC
rnacentral:misc_RNA from 1 species